rnacentral:rRNA from 1 species
UGACCGCUGGCGGCGUGCCUAAUACAUGCAAGUCGAGCGAACGGACGAGAAGCUUGCUUCUCUGAUGUUAGCGGCGGACGGGUGAGUAACACGUGGAUAACCUACCUAUAAGACUGGGAUAACUUCGGGAAACCGUAGCUAAUACCGGAUAAUAUUUUGAACCGCAUGGUUCAAAAGUGAAAGACGGUCUUGCUGUCACUUAUAGAUGGAUCCGCGCUGCAUUAGCUAGUUGGUAAGGUAACGGCUUACCAAGGCAACGAUGCAUAGCCGACCUGAGAGGGUGAUCGGCCACACUGGAACUGAGACACGGUCCAGACUCCUACGGGAGGCAGCAGUAGGGAAUCUUCCGCAAUGGGCGAAAGCCUGACGGAGCAACGCCGCGUGAGUGAUGAAGGUCUUAGGAUCGUAAAACUCUGUUAUUAGGGAAGAACAUAUGUGUAAGUAACUGUGCACAUCUUGACGGUACCUAAUCAGAAAGCCUCGGCUAACUACGUG